UACGAAGGGGGCUAGCGUUGCUCGGAAUCACUGGGCGUAAAGGGUGCGUAGGCGGGUUCUUAAGUCAGAGGUGAAAUCCUGGAGCUCAACUCCAGAACUGCCUUUGAUACUGAGAGUCUUGAGUUCGGGAGAGGUGAGUGGAACUGCGAGUGUAGAGGUGAAAUGCGUAGAUAUUGGGAGGAACACCGGUGGCGAAGGCGGCUACCUGGACCGGUACUGACGCUGAGGCGCGAAAGCUAGGGUAGCAAACAGG
rnacentral:rRNA from 1 species